CAUUCCAUCCUGGUGCUUCUCCUUAGGAUUACAUAAUGUUGAUUCAGAAGCUUGUAUAAAUUGUCCAAUUGACCAUAAAAGAGGCAAGCACAGUGCUCAAGUCCAAGGGACCUCCAGAUUACUAUGACAAAUUGAGUGAAAAAAGAACAGGUGCUGGCUGAAAACCUGUACUUAUCCUAGAAUAUCAUUGCAUGUGCUGAGAAGUAAAAUCCAUAAUUCUAUGGUUCUUCUACUAUCAACUGUGUCAAGCAUCAGCUCCAGAAGUAGAUUGAAGAUUAUGAGUUUCAAAGAUCAAUGGGUCAUUAUUCAUGAAAAUCAAAAUAUUAGCUAGUUUUACGUGUUUGCUUUUCUCAAGGAUUGAAAAAGGUAACAACAAAUUCUUGGGACUCCGGAUCAGGCUUGGGGCUGUCUUUUGGUGACGUGCUGCCUACAUAUUCUAUGGAUUUUAUCAGUUCAUAUUGCUAUAUUCAUUGUGCUAUGAAAGAUUUGAUGACUUUUCUGUAGCUUAAGCUGAUGCAUACAAUUAAGAAUAGUAUACAACUUAUCUUACAGAGGUCCAUUCUGAUCCUUAGUCUGCUACAAUAUGUC